GACGAACGCUGGCGGCGUGCUUAACACAUGCAAGUCGAACGAAGUGGCGAACGGGUGAGUAACGCGUAAUCAACCUGCCCUUCAGAGGGGGACAACAGUUGGAAACGACUGCUAAUACCGUAUACUGAAGGAGGGGAUUGCGUCUGAUUUGCUAGUUGGAGGGGUAAUGUCCCACCAAGGCGAUGAUCAGUAGCCGGUCUGAGAGGAUGAACGGCCACAUUGGGCCUGAGACAGGGCCCAGACUCCUACGGGAGGCAGCAGUGGGGAAGAUUCCGCAAUGGACGAAAGUCUGACGGAGCAACGCCGCGUGAGUGAUGACGGCCUUCGGGUUGUAAAGCUUUGUUAAUCGGGACGCGGUACCGGAAUAGAAAGCCACGGCUAACUCCGUGCCAGCAGCCGCGGUAAUAC
rnacentral:rRNA from 1 species